rnacentral:sRNA from 1 species
GCGCGCGACCUAUACCCGGC